CUGGGGACAGAACCCAGGGCUUUGCGCUUCCUAGGAAAGCGCUCUACCACUGAGCUAAAUCCCCAGCCCCGAGUGGAUGCUUUUUGAGAUAGAAACCUCAUGUAUCCUAGGCUGACCUUGAACUCACAGAUGGAUGCCUUUGAACCCCAAUCUGCCUGCCUCCACCCCUUGAGUGCUCAGGUUACAGGCAUACGUUACCUCAUUACAUGGUGCUGGCGAUCAAACCCAGGGCUUGAGCAUGCUGGGUAAAUAACUCUACCAACUGGUGUGUGUGUGUGUGUGUGUGUGUGUGUGUGUGUGUGUGUGUGUGUGUGUGAUGUAGGAUGGGGUAGAAGGGAGAGUGCUCACUUUAAUUCAGAACACACUGGGUGGCUGUUGUGGGGUGCUCUCCUCCCGGCAUGAAAGCCACCAUCUACACCAGGGCAGCAGUGAUCACUUGUAAGCAGCCCUUGGAUUUAGGCCUGCUGUCUGUCAACAGCCCCUCAUAGAAAGAGGGACAUCUUUGAUCCCUACCUGAGAUUACAGUUACUCCUCCCCAAACCUCCCAGACAAACCACAAGUAAUGGUGCCUUAAUUGCAUAUGGCCUUGUGGCCUCAGAGGCAUAGCAAAGUGUGGAAGGCUAAUGAAGAGGGCACUUAGCUAUACAGCCUCAGGGAAGUUGUUGUGCAGGCUGGGGUGAGGUUUGGGGUUUGUUUUGUUUUGAUUUUGUUUUUUGGGUUGUUUUGUUUGUUUGGUGCAGCUGCUCUGGGCUCACCCAGGCUCCUGUAAGUAACCUCUCACUCAUGCUCAGGAAGUACACCGAAUAUAUCCACUGGUUCUCCUGGCUGAACCUUGGCGGGAAUCAGCUUUGUUCUGUGGUUGGUGACCUAUUUUGGAGCAGGUGCUUAUGUCUGCUGCCCCUCCCCCACCCAGAAAAGCUCACAGUUUUUGAGCUCUGCAAAAACAAAGCUUGGCAAUUGCCUCAUGCUAAGCCGACUCUUCUCUAAACCAUCGGCAUCCUCACUCGAGGUAGCUAAAUUUCUGGGAACAGCACGUACCCUGCAGUGUUCCCGGUUCCCCUGGACCAUGGGCACACCCCUCCUUCCGAGCCUUUGUGCCUUUGUAAUGCUCCAGAGAAGCUCAGGAAAACAGUGGGCAACGUUCUUGGAAGGGCGCCCUUCUAUGUGUCCUGAGGGCUUCGGAAGGGAGCACUGUAAGGAGGAGGCAGCUGGACACAGGAGGCUCUCGAGGAGGCUGAGGAGGCUUCCAUCCACCACCCACGAGUGAGAAGGGGGGCAUAUGUUUGGAGCAAGCAGUAACAUGCAUCCCAGGUGGAAAGAGAGGCUCUGUAAGGCCAUGCACCGUGGUUCAGCCCUUAGUGACUCCAGCACCCUGCCUGUAUCUUCCCUGUGCCGCCUACAUCCUGGCCACAAUCCCUGGUGACAGAAGAGGAAGGAAAUGAAGCCAGCACAAACAGCUGAGUGCUUAUCACAGCAAUGGGAAAAUAAGAGACUGUGUAUGGAUAUUCAAUGCUUCCAAAUACCCUACCGAGCACUCGCACAGAGAGCGUGGCGGGAAGACGGAGGGGGAGAGGGAGAGGGAGAAAGAAAUAAAAAUUAGGACCCUUGAGAGAGUUGCGGACAAGCUUACCCAGGUGCACACCACCAUUCAACUGGCCGGCUCCACCCACCAUGGAACCCGGAGAGCCUGGCGGCUUGGACUCUAGCUGUCCGGCUUUGAAGGCUUGCUCUCAGCUUCCACGCUCUGUUGCCGCCUACAUUCCUUUCUGAACUCUCCUGUAUAAGUAUUAUUGUCAGAUUCAAAAGAAAAGGGAACGGAUGUAGAGAGGCUCCGUCUGGCCAUUUCCGCAUAUUUAUAAGUAGAACUUCACCCUGCUUUCCAGUGGGGAACACUUUCAGUGCCACACAGCUAGGUCCCAUCGUCUCUCAUCCCUGUCACUCAUUCUCCCCUGGGAAGAAGUCAUUCCUGUAAGGCCAAAGGUUGCUCAUGCUCAAUGAUGAGUGGUCGCUCUAAGGCAGGGAAAGGACCCUGAGCCAUGAGUCCUCCUCCGCGGUGUAAACACUGCACCAGAAUGGAUUUCAGGCUCCUGACGCAGUGGAGCAGUUUGUAAAAUUCCUGAAAAUGCAGCCCUUUCUUUUCACCAUCUGUUCUGUGCAGGCAGAACACCCACAGAACACAGCUAUAGGGGUCAGCUCCCCACUGUUCCCAAACCCAGAUUCCUGUCCUUAUGAUAAGGGAACAUUAUAUUGGUUACCCUUUUUUAUUCAUGGCUGUGACCAAAUGCCUGACAAGAAGCAACUUAAGAAUUAUUAAUUUUCGAGGCUGGAGAGAUGGCUCAGUGGUUAAGAGCAUUGACUGCUCUUCCAGAGGUCCUGAGUUCAAAUCCCAGCAACCACAUGGUGGCUCAUAACCAUCUGUAAUGAGAUCUGAUGCCCUCUUCUGGUGUGUCUGAAGACAGCUACAGUGUACUUCUAUAUAAUAAAUAUAAUAAAUAAAUCUUUUUUAAAAAGAA